rnacentral:rRNA from 1 species
UUCCGGUUGAUCCUGGCGGACCCCACUGCUAUCGAGGUGGGACUAAGCCAUGCUAGUCGAACGAACAGAACUAUGUCUGUAAGUGGCAUACUGCUCAGUAACACGUAGCUAACCUACCCUUAGGAUGUUGAUACCCCCGAGAAAUUGGGGCUAAUAAGCAAUAGAUAUGAUGUCCUGGAAUGGUAUUAUGUCUAAAGGUACCUCAUACAUGUUUGAGUUACGCCUAAGGAUGGGGCUGCGGCCGAUCAGGCAGUUGGUGAGGUAAUGGCUCACCAAACCUUUGACCGGUAUGGGCCAUGAGAGUGGUAGCCCAGAGAUGGACACUGAGACAAGGGUCCAGGCCCUACGGGGCGCAGCAGGCGCGAAACCUCCUCAAUACACUAACGUGUGAAGGGGUUACCUCGAGUGCCACCUGAAGAAGGUGGCUUUUCCGUGGUCUAAAUAGCCUAGGGAAUAAGAGGGGGGCAAGACUGGUGUCAGCCGCCGCGGUAACACCAGCCCCUCGAGUGGUGGGGAUGAUUAUUUGGCCUAAAGCGUCCGUAGCCGGCCGGGUAAGUUUCCCGUUAAAUCCAACGUCUCAAGCGUUGGACUGCGGGAAAUACUGCCUGGCUAGAGAGUGGGAGAGGUCAGCGGUAUUCUGGGGGUAGGGGCGAAAUCCUUUGAUCCCCGGAGGACCACCAGUGGCGAAAGCUGCUGACUAGAACACGUCUGACGGUCAGGGACGAAAGCUGGGGUAGCGAACCGGAUUAGAUACCCGGGUAGUCCCAGCCGUAAACGAUGCAUGCUAGGUGUUGGGUUGGCCACGAGCCAGCCCAGUGCCGCAGGAAAGCCGUUAAGCAUGCCGCCUGCGAAGUACGAUCGCAAGAUUGAAACUUAAAGGGAAUUGGCGGGGAACACAAUCGUCGAACGGGCAAGGCGUGCAACCUU